rnacentral:lncRNA from 10 species
CCAGACAUAAUCACAAAGGUUACUGAUGCUUUAAACAGAGCAGCCCAGCCCUGUACAUAGUGAGGGAGAAGGUGCUGAGCAGUCCUGCCCACCUCACUGAUCACCCAAGUCAAUCUGCCACCUGAGGGGUUGCGGCAGGUAGUAGUUCUUGUUUCUUCAGCUGUUACAAGAAAUGGUUUAAAAUUCUGUCUUCCAAUCAGAUCACUUCUCAGGUGAGAUCCAGUUGGUUAAUGUCUCUCUUAAAGUUUAAACAAUUUUAGAUUUGUGCAGUUUAUCAUCUGUCUUUUAUACUUCAGUAAAGACGAAAAGAAAAAAAAAACACUGAUUUCAGCUAUUGGAAGAAUGGAAUUGCCAGUACCUGAGGUGGAGAGCAGGUUUCGGUAAAGAUCAAGAGUUCAGUUUUGAGCAUAUUGUGUUUGAGAGGUUUAGUAGACAUCCAGAUGAGAUGCCAAGUGAAUAGUAGAAAAUGCUAGUUUGGUGUUCAAGGAAGAGAUCUGGGCUAGAGAUACAAAUGAGGGUGGUUGGCACAAAAGCAGUAAAGCCUUGGUAGUCACUCAGUAGUUGUUUGUGAUUGUCUAGGGAAACAUAUUCCUGAAUCAACCAACAUUUACGGAUUAUCUACUUUACUUAUCCAGAUACAAUUGAGAGACAGUAAUACAUAUGACAGUAUUAUGUAACAUAUACUGUUAUAUAAUUGAUUCAUUAAAUGAUUCAUGCAUGAUGCUUUGUUUUAUUUUUCAGUGAGUACACUUUUUUUUUUUUUUUUAAUGUUUGUCUGUUUUGGUUAUCUGUUAAAGCUCCUUAGGACUACACUUGCAAAGGCAGCUGAAGGUCUAGCAAAGAGCUUUCUUUAGUAAGGGAGUUUGAAAGCUAGUACUUCAAAGUCUGUGCUAAUGACCUGGUAAUUGUUUAAUGGAUUUUCAAUGAAGUGUGAAGUUCUCUGCUGACUUCCCAACAAAGUGUAAAGUAUGGUAAAGUUUGUGAGAGAGUUAUUCUCACUCCUGUGAAUUUGUCUCUCUGUUUGUGAAAUCAUUGCCAAGUACAGCUUUGGCUACUUUAUAAAUACAAAUCCGCUUUAGGGGUGUAAGCAUUCAAGCAGUCUUUCUUGGUUUCAUUCAGCUAGUGGGAUGGGGCAAAGGUCAAGCUGCCUUUAGAAGUGCAAUCAGCUCUUUCUACCAAAGGAAAGACCCUAGCAAAUCUGAGAACGAGAGUUCUGAAGAGAACAGCCUGGAUUUCUAGCAGCUAUCUUACACAAGACUUUCUCUUGCCUCUCACCUGGAAAGGAACAAAUGCUUCUCUUUGCUUUCUCAGUUUCCAUUUCAAAUACAUUUUGUCUAGAGGACUGAAUGUCCCAAGUGUGGCUUCUCAAUCUUGGUGAAAGAACAUUUCCAUGUAAUUGACAUGAAUGCUUUCAUCUAGGCUUACCGCUGUGUUAAGCUGCUUUGGGGUGUGCAUUAUACUGAGAAAUGAUUCCAGACCAGACACCUUCCCUCACAAUGCUGAAAGAUAGAGAAUAUAUUGUUUUUCGUGUUAUGAAAUCUGCUUUUUUUUUUGCCUUUGUUUGGUGGCAUCCAAUAGAUUUGGAGGGCAUGGAAUGGUCAAAUGUUGUUUCUUGUUUGAGUCUCUAAGGCUUGGAGUCUAUGCCCUCUAUGUUGGCUUUUUAGUAGAAAUACUACUAAGAGUACACCGAGGCCACCGAAAACUCUGCCCUAGGGUAGAAUUCAGCCCAGGGCAAGGCAGUUGUGCCUUAGGCCCUAGUCAAUAAAUUUUAAGGUGAUAGAUGUUAUGAAUGAAUCAUUCUCAUAGACCUGAACUCCAUUGAGGUUCUUAGUGUUAUAGUGAAUUAACAGAGUAUGACUGUCUUGAGACAGGUUCCUUGUAACAAAAGACCAUGAGAUCUGUGGAAGGAAAAGAGAAAGCUUCAUUUUCCAUAAGAAACAAUUUGCAGAUUGGGGAGAUGCAGCCCCUGGUGUAAAAAGAAAUCAUGCUCU